rnacentral:rRNA from 1 species
AUGCAAGUCGAGCGAGAUCUUCGGAUCUAGCGGCGGACGGGUGAGUAACGCGUGGGAACGUGCCCUUUGCUACGGAAUAGCCCCGGGAAACUGGGAGUAAUACCGUAUGUGCCCUUGGACCUUGGCGGUUCUUGGGGAAAGAUUUAUCGGCAAAGGAUCGGCCCGCGUUGGAUUAGGUAGUUGGUGAGGUAACGGCUCACCAAGCCGACGAUCCAUAGCUGGUUUGAGAGGAUGAUCAGCCACACUGGGACUGAGACACGGCCCAGACUCCUACGGGAGGCAGCAGUGGGGAAUCUUAGACAAUGGGGGCAACCCUGAUCUAGCCAUGCCGCGUGGGUGAUGAAAGCCUUAGGGUUGUAAAGCUCUUUCAGCUGGGAAGAUAAUGACGGUUCCAGCAGAAGAAGCCCCGGCUAACUCCGUGCCAGCAGCCGCGGUAAUACGGAGGGGGCUAGCGUUGUUCGGAAUUACUGGGCGUAAAGCGCACGUAGGCGGACUGGAAAGUCAGAGGUGAAAUCCCAGGGCUCAACCUUGGAACUGCCUUUGAAACUAUCAGUCUGGAGUUCGAGAGAGGUGAGUGGAAUUCCGAGUGUAGAGGUGAAAUUCGUAGAUAUUCGGAGGAACACCAGUGGCGAAGGCGGCUCACUGGCUCGAUACUGACGCUGAGGUGCGAAAGCGUGGGGAGCAAACGGGAUUAGAUACCCUGGUAUUCCACGCCGUAAACGAUGAAUGCCAGUCGUCGGGUUGCAUGCAAUUCGGUGAGACACCUAACGGAA